UAUUUUUCAGGAGGCUUUAUUUCAAGAUAACUGAAUUUUGGUUGACUACAGAUGUUAGAACCGAAAUUUUCCCACCCUGCAUGUGCUAAGAAUUUACAGUUCAUGUAUGCAAAGCUAGAUAGAUAGUAUGCAGAUGCUCGAGACAAGUCUGUACAAACUACACACAUUUGAUGUUCGUAUCUGAGGAAAUAAUUAGACCAGCAAGCUUCUUGACAAGUUGAUUCAUAAUCAAAUCAUGCAUCCCAAUGUUAGUACUUUGAAAUAUGACAGAGCACACAAGUCUUGCACUUCAAAAAUAUGAUAUUUAUCUGCUUUUUCUGCAGAGAACAAUGAUCUUGGACGUCGACUGUAGCGGUGAGUCCAAUUGACUUGCAUAAGAACGUGACUUGAAACAUCAGACAGAAAGGUAGGUUCUCCUGACUCCUGAAUUUUUUUCUUCUUGGUAAGUGCCUCCCCAACACUACAACUGCAUGCACUUCACUUGCAGCUUUUAGAGACCAGCAUUGCACAUCUUUUCUUGAGUACCUCCAAUUUUCAGCAAUAGCAGGGUCUUCAGGUACUUCCACUAUUCCAGCAAUCUGUAUUAAACACUGUUUGGUAUUAGCACAUUUUCUGUUGAUUAUUACUUAUUGUGGAGAUGAGUCUAUAUAUAUGAUAUUAAAAAGGAACGUGGCAAUUCAACACUUCACAUGGCAGCAUCUAGUAUUCAAUUUUGGCUAAAGUAUGUUUAGCAAGAGAGCACUACUGCAAUAUGAGCGCACCAUGAUAAAAUGCAUUGGAUAUGAGUAAUCAAUGGGCGACGGCAUUCAUCGCAGUCAUAAGCACCCACAUUUGUGUUCCUUAUCUUCUUGCAAAGGGCACAAUAGUACCACUCACUGGUAUCAUCUUUGAUGAACGAAACGUGAAUUGUGAGUUGAUGGAAGUUAAUGACUAUCUUUUACUGUAGUGGAAGGCAAUCUGUGCACACAACUGCAAUAGCCAAACCUGCAAAAUUUACCACAGACAUUGCAUAUUAGCAUGGUUAGGUAGAUUUAAAACAAGAAAGAGUAUAUGAUUGUGGAGGUGAUGUUUCAAAGUGGGCCUUUCAAAAGUGCAUUGAGUGUUGAAGUUGUUGUCACUUCCGUGCAGUGAAAGACAGAGUGUCGACACUCUUCAUGAUGUAUGUCAACAGUGCUCCUCCUGAUACAAGAAGAAAAAGGAUGUGCAGGGUGAGCAGAUCAGAGAUUCAAGUUGUUGCUAGAAUUGUUGCUUCACUCAGAGAUUCAAGUUGCCGGGGCCAAGAAGAUAACAAUUUCAGAUGUCAAGUGUUAGCAGUGAUUCCAUUGACUUGCAUAAGAGCAUAAGUUGAAACAUCAAACAGAAAGGUGGUCUCCUGCCUCCCCAUUUCUUUUCUUCUGGAUAAGCGUGCCUCCCCAAAUCUGCAAUUACAUGCACUUCGUUUGCAGCUUUUUGAGACCAGCACUGCAUGUCUGUUUUUUUAGUAUUGUUCAUUUGUGGGUUCGCUCUGUCCUUUUUUUCCUGCAGAAUUGCAAUUUUUCCAUCUAGUUCAGCAAUAGCGGGGGGUAUUCAGGUACUUCCAUUACUUAAAAAAUUUUGGUAUUACCAUAUUUUCUGUUAAUUAUAACUUAUUGUGGAGGGAGUCUAUAUAUGAUGUUAAAAAAAGAAAAAGGAACAGGGCUAUUCACCAAAUCACGUAGCUGCAUCGUGUAUCUGUUUGUUGGCUAAAGCCAGAGCACUUCUGUGAUGAAAGCAUACCGUGGGUAAAACACAUUUGAUAUGAGUAAUCAAUGCGCAAGGGCAUUCAUUUCAGAUGGAAGCACCCAGAUUCAGGUCUUUUUCUCUCAAAGGUUACAGUAGUACUUACCAUCAUCGUCUUUGAUGAACGUAGCAUAGAGUGUGAGUUGACAGAGGUGAUGGCGAUCUUUCAUUGUUGGUGGUAACCGUGGAAAGCAAUCAUGAUAGACAUUAAGAUUGCAGUGCACAAGAACGUGAAAGUCAAAUGUGCAAAAUUUGCCAGACACUGCAUAGGAAGCAUGGUUCAGUAGAUCUUUGUGGAGGUGACGUUUCAAAGUGGGCUUUCCAGAAGUGCAUGGAAUGUUGGAGUCUAACUCACAUUCUGCGCAGUGAAAGAAAGCUUCAACGCUCUUCACGACAUGCGUCAGUGAGCUUUCUUCCUGAUAUGGGAAGCAGUGGAUGUGCAGGGCGAAUGGGUUGUUGCAUAACUGAGGGCAAUUCAGCACAUGAUUUAUGGAGCAGAAAAGAGCAGCACUGCUCGAGGCAGUGAUGCUCUAAACCUAUUGAAAUAUUCAUGACAAGCCUUGAGCGCACCAUCCUUCCUAUGACCCAGCUCCAGCGGCAGCAGAUGAUUGUGAAUUGGAGAAAGAAAAGGCAAUCCAGACAAGCAUAGAACUCACCUAGCAUGUUCCAUCAAGCUUCGCACUAAUCUGUUUCAUCCUUCUUGUGGAAGGACACCAGUAAAGGCUGAUGGGCGAAAUGGUAAAAAAACAAGCCUUUCUCACCCUUCAGAUCUUGUGAACGUAGAGUUAUAGCUGCGCAGUCCAUGUCAAGGCUGAAAUUGCAUUAGCUGCAGCAGGAAACCAUAUCGCAGGCAUUACAUUGGAGGUCUACAGAUUGAUUGAAAGCAAGAGAGAUGGUGAUCAUUGAAAGACAGGCAUUGCUUAUUUGGUGUAGAUUUGGCACAGCUCUUGUGAAUGAAGAAUAUGCACUGUGUAGCAUCCAUAGACCUCCUUGCAGGCUUUGCAUUCGAUUCUACUUUUCAUCCCAAGAUGCUAAUGAGCAAAAUGUUGGAUGGUCACAUACUCAGAAUCUUCAUCAGGCUUAGUUGUGACUAGGCAGACAGCAAUAUUGGACCGUGCUGUAAUGCUCAACAAUCCGAAUGGCAAGAAGGAAAGCCUCGUCACAUGCAUGGCAACCAUGACGAUCCUCCUUCUCAUCUGCCUACUAGGCAUUCAAGCGGGGGCAGCAGGUGAAACGGGUGUUCUCGGGUGAAGAGCAUGCUAAAUUCAGCUUGACUAGUGAAAGAAGAUUCGACACGAUUCCCAGCAGUAGGGCUGCGCCGCGGAUCUGAGACCAGCACGCAAGACAUUCCAAGCAAGUGCAGCCUUCUUUGCGAAUCAAUACAUGACCAGCAAGGCAAUGGAGUUAUAGUUGCUGAGUGACAUCAACAAGAAGCAAAUGGGGUGAAAUGAAUCGUACCCAACUACCGUAUUAUUUGGUGUUGCAUUUCAGUGCUAAUUUGUACCAUUUUUUUUUAAUUAUCUAUGCAUUAAGGCAAUAGUUAAUAAAACUAAAAUGAAAUCUCAGCAA